AUUGAACGCUGGCGGCAGGCCUAACACAUGCAAGUCGAACGAGUGGCGGACGGGUGAUUAAUGUUUGGGAAACUGACCGAUGGAGGGGGAUAACUACUGGAAACGGUAGCUAAUCACACAUAACAUCGUAUGUGCCCAGAUGGGAUUAGCUAGUAGGUGGUGGAACGGCUCACUUGGGCGACGAUCCCUACGUGGUCUGAGAGGAUGACCAGCCAAACUGGAACUGUGACACGGUCCAGACGCCUACGGGAGGCAGCAGUGGGGAAUAUUGCAAAAUGGGCGCAAGCCUGAUGCAGCCAUGCCGCGUGUAUGAAGAAGGCCUUCGGGUUGUAAAGUACUUUCAGCGAGGAGGCGUUACUCGCAGAAGAAGCACCGGCUAACUCCGUGCCAGCCGCCGCGGUAAUAC
rnacentral:rRNA from 1 species